rnacentral:lncRNA from 1 species
AUGUGGGGAAAGAAGUUGACAAUGUUCAAGCCACCAUUUUGUCUGAGAAUGAAGAAGAAAACUCAGCCAAGACACCAGAAUCCAAAGAAGAAAAAGAUCCAGAAGAAGAUAUCAAUACAGAUCAUAUACUUAAUCAAUCUGAAUUUACAGAAGAAAAGCUAAUAGAUAUCACACAAGUCCACAAUGACGACAUAUCACUUGACCAUGGGAAUCCUUCUGCUACACCAGUGGAAUCCACAGAAGAAAAGCUUCCAGAUUCAGGCCUCCUGACUACAAAUGAAGACAGGGGUGACAGGGCAACUAGUCAACAAAGUGCAUCCCGUGAAGAGAGAUUGCCCUGCGGUAAUGGAGAUGCGCCCUCCCAACACGAUCUUGACACCUCGGACAGCAAAACCUCCCUUGUACAUGGAAGAUCUAACAGUGCCUACACCCCUAGUUAUGAAGAAUACACCCUUCUUCUUGAACAGUUAAAUGAAGAAAGAGCCAACGCCAUUGAACACAUUAAAAGGUUGCAAAUGAAGCUAGCUCCAGUACUUGCCAAGAAGACUAAAGAAGAGCUGGAGAGGGUCCUGCAUGGGUCAAUGCAGAUGGAAAGUUUUGAGCACUGUCUAGAAGUGCUAACUGAACUAAAAGAGAAGAUGAAGGAGGAUGAAGCAACCGCUGAGGGGAAGAUGGAAACGCUGAGAGUUCUUGCAGAAGAGAAGCUAAGCAAGGUGGACAAAGAAUGGCAGGAUUUGCUGUCUCUGAAGAGGGACGUGGCGCUGACGGUGCUAAGCCGGCGAAUGGCUAAACCGCAUGCCCUGGCCAGAGUGGAGUCGGCACUGGCGUCGGAGCAGAUGUACCAGGAGGAGCUGACCAAAGUGCGCCUUCACAACUUCAGUCUGGAGAACAGGAUCCACAGACUGAAGAGGGCGAUCAGCGAGGCGGACAGAAACGCCACCAACCCCUUCCAGCGCGAGUACGAGAAGCUCCACGCCAAGAGGAUGGAGAGGAAGAAGUACGUGGAGAAACAGACGGGGGAGGCGCUCAGAGUGCAGAAGAACGUGGCGAGAAAAUUGCAGACGCUGUCCGAUACCAAAAGGAAAAUCCACUGCUUUGAGACUGAAAUCCAGCAUAAAAGUAAGGAACUGGCCCAAGUGGACGCCAUUAUGGCUCAAAGAGAGAGAAGCUUGCCGGCAUCAAACAUGCUCAAAGCCGCCUACAGAGGGACAACAUGAAGCUGAAGGAGAAGUGCGGCCUGCUGGGAAAUGAAGUCCUGCUCAGAGACUACAGCCACACCACCAAGGCCAACGCUAUCCUGGAGGAAGACUGAAGAAUCUCAAGUAUCAGCAUGCUGAUUUAGAAUUCUCCCUUGGCAGGGGCAGGAAGAGGCUUGAGGCAAUAUGAUGUACACAUUUUCAAUACUACAAAACACUAACAUUUUGACCGUAAGUAAGUAAGUAAGUAAGGGCUGGUGAUGGAUUCGAUGAGGUGGAUUGGGAGGGGCCGGAGUUAUUUGUUCCGGUGGGUAUUGCCUGUGACCGUACAGGGGCUGGUGAUCGACCCCACUGAACUGCAACCUUUGCUCAGAGAAUCUCCUCUCCCUUUUGGUCCUGAACCCAGCAGGAUGUUCAGGUUCCUGAUGCUGACCAGAAGGACAAAUUGGUCAAAUUGGACUGGGAAAACGGAUCACUUGUUGACCACCCUCCUGCCAAGUAGUUGCCGCUGGCUCUCUUGAGGACAAGGAGCCUGAUAAGAACACUGUUGUGAAGGAGGGCAGCGAUAUUCUUCUGGUCGAAAGGCUACUGUUGGAGCUACUUCAUACCGGCCUAGCAAAGGACUGCUUCGAUGCAGAGAACAAUUUGAUGGCAGUUGUCCUGUUACUCUCACAAACUCCUGGAGAGUCCACAUUUGUGAAAGGUAGCUCAAUGAGUGCUGGAAACUGUACUGUUGCCAUUUUGAAUUGUUUAUUGUUCCUGCUUGUUCUGUUCCAACUUAAGCAAUACAAAACCUUCAAAAGGAAGAGAUGGAAAUUGAUUUACUAAACUAAUAAUAAAUUGAGUACCGGCAAGUUUUUGGAAUACGAAUUAUUAUUUUGAUGCUGGUAUGAAAUGUGGUCCUAUAUAGUGUAAAUGUAUGAAAUUAGUUUGGUAUGGCUCCAUGUUAAUAUUUUGUAUUUGUAAUUGUUUCCCCAUCUGGGUUCAACA